GACGAACGCUGGCGGCGUGCUUAACACAUGCAAGUCGAGCGGAAAGGCCCUUUCGGGGGUACUCGAGCGGCGAACGGGUGAGUAACACGUGAGUAAUCUGCCCUGCGCUCUGGGAUAGCCACCGGAAACGGUGAUUAAUACCGGAUAUGAUCGCUCCACGCAUGUGGUGGUGAUGGAAAGUUUUUUCGGCGCAGGAUGUGCUCGCGGCCUAUCAGCUUGUUGGUGAGGUAAUGGCUCACCAAGGCUUUGACGGGUAGCCGGCCUGAGAGGGUGACCGGCCACACUGGGACUGAGACACGGCCCAGACUCCUACGGGAGGCAGCAGUGGGGAAUAUUGGACAAUGGGCGGAAGCCUGAUCCAGCAACGCCGCGUGAGGGAUGACGGCCUUCGGGUUGUAAACCUCUUUCAGUACCGACGAAGCGCAAGUGACGGUAGGUACAGAAGAAGGACCGGCCAACUACGUGCCAGCCGCCGCAGUAACAC
rnacentral:rRNA from 1 species